UACAUACGGGUCUUUGCGACCUCGUUUGAGACCGUGCGCAGUUAGAAUUGUACAUUGCCUCGUGUGAAGAUUAUCGGUUAUGGCAGGCGCGUGUGUUCUACAGAGUUCAAGUGCACAGUUAAUUGGAUACUGCUCGAGAGAUUAAGGUUGCAAAGGCGUGCAUGGAAUGGCGUGCCUUCAUAGCGGCCUGUUUCUACAGGAAGAAAGUGAUUGGCAGUACGGAAUUUGAAGAUAUUUUGGGACUCAUCCGGGUGAAUUUUGAUCAGGUCAGAUGCACUAUUCGCGACAAUGACGGUGUCAUCUGCAUACAACAGGACCAGAAGCUUAAACCACGAUAUUGCAGUAUCUGGGUUGAUAAGUUCAACCCCAACGGAUCCAUUUAUAUGCAGGUAUGAGUGAAGGUCAUUUAAGAAAAGUGAGAAUAGGACUGGGGAUAGAUUUUCGCCUUGUCUGACACCUAUUUAUGACAAGAAGUACUGGGAGCAUUCUCCAUUAAAGGAAAUGCAUGAUGUUAUGUUUCUGUACAUGUUUAAAAGGACUCGAAAAAAGUUACCAUUAAUUUGUGUGCCAAGUAUUUUGUGCCAGAGACCAGCUCUCCAAACUUUAUCGAGCGCCUGAGAAAAAUCGAUGAAGGCGCAGAAGAAGGCUAAGGCUUUUAUUUUUAAAUCAACUGGUGUUGUCGAGCUCCAAAGAAAGCCAAGCAAUCAGAUGAACUAAACCGCGUUUUCCAUCAGGAAAAUUCAUGUUCUCAGCGUUGGUAUAUUCAACAAAUCGAAUGACGACAAAAUUGUAAUAUAUCUUUUUCACUUCAAAAUUCAGUUUUAAAGGAUGAUUAGCAAUACACAUUGAUUGUAAAUGUACGAGUAUUGUCAAUAAAUUGCAGUCAAUUUUGUCAAAGUGUAAUUUGUUUAAGAUCUUUGAUAAGACACUGGUCGUUUAUUUUUCACAGCGUUCACAAACAAUCAUCUAGAUUGUAUGCAUUUACAACAGUAUAACUAUCAUGUAUGAUCAAUUAAAUGGUAUCUUUUCA